rnacentral:tRNA from 1 species
GCGAGGGUGGCGGAAUUGGCAGACGCACUAGACUUAGGAUCUAGCGGUUGUACCGUGGGGGUUCAAGUCCCCCCUCUCGCACCA